AGAUGAUGCAGUUAUUUGAAGCGACAACUGAGCAACUGUCUCAGGAAAAGCUACUUCGACAGGAAACACAGGAGGAAUUGGACAAGGUUUCUUUCAGGGAAUUAGAAACAAAACAGGAGUUAAGAAAAACCAACGAGGAAUGUCAGAAGCAACAAUUCCUCGUUAAAGCACAUGCUGAAUGUGAAGCUGAGUUACACAAACAGGCUACACAGCUAUUGACUACAAUAAAAGACUCUGUUGAUGACGUUUACGGCUUACAUGCGAAGGUGGAAAGAACACAGCAAGUAGAAAGGCGCAAUGAGUUAUCAAAGCAAACAUUUAAGCAA